rnacentral:tRNA from 1 species
AGUUAAUUAAGCUUUAGAGAAGCAUUUACUUUGAAAGUAAAAGAUAUUGGUUAAAUUCCUCUAUUAACUU